rnacentral:rRNA from 1 species
CCGGAAGACCAAGGGUUCCUGUCCAACGUUAAUCGGGGCAGGGUGAGUCGACCCCUAAGGCGAGGCCGAAAGGCGUAGUCGAUGGGAAACAGGUUAAUAUUCCUGUACUUGGUGUUACUGCGAAGAGGGGACGGAGAAGGCUAUGUUGGCCGGGCGACGGUUGUCCCGGUUUAAGCGUGUAGGCUGGUUUUCCAGGCAAAUCCGGAAAAUCAAGGCUGAGGCGUGAUGACGAGGCACUGCGGUGCUGAAGCAACAAAUGCCCUGCUUCCAGGAAAAGCCUCUAAGCAUCAGGUAACAUCAAAUCGUACCCCAAACCGACACAGGUGGUCAGGUAGAGAAUACCAAGGCGCUUGAGAGAACUCGGGUGAAGGAACUAGGCAAAAUGGUGCCGUAACUUCGGGAGAAGGCACGCUGAUAUGUAGGUGAAGUCCCUCGCGGAUGGAGCUGAAAUCAGUCGAAGAUACCAGCUGGCUGCAACUGUUUAUUAAAAACACAGCACUGUGCAAACACGAAAGUGGACGUAUACGGUGUGACGCCUGCCCGGUGCCGGAAGGUUAAUUGAUGGGGUUAGCGCAAGCGAAGCUCUUGAUCGAAGCCCCGGUAAACGGCGGCCGUAACUAUAACGGUCCUAAGGUAGCGAAAUUCCUUGUCGGGUAAGUUCCGACCUGCACGAAUGGCGUAAUGAUGGCCAGGCUGUCUCCACCCGAGACUCAGUGAAAUUGAACUCGCUGUGAAGAUGCAGUGUACCCGCGGCAAGACGGAAAGACCCCGUGAACCUUUACUAUAGCUUGACACUGAACAUUGAGCCUUGAUGUGUAGGAUAGGUGGGAGGCUUUGAAGUGUGGACGCCAGUCUGCAUGGAGCCGACCUUGAAAUACCACCCUUUAAUGUUUGAUGUUCUAACGUUGACCCGUAAUCCGGGUUGCGGACAGUGUCUGGUGGGUAGUUUGACUGGGGCGGUCUCCUCCUAAAGAGUAACGGAGGAGCACGAAGGUUGGCUAAUCCUGGUCGGACAUCAGGAGGUUAGUGCAAUGGCAUAAGCCAGCUUGACUGCGAGCGUGACGGCGCGAGCAGGUGCGAAAGCAGGUCAUAGUGAUCCGGUGGUUCUGAAUGGAAGGGCCAUCGCUCAACGGAUAAAAGGUACUCCGGGGAUAACAGGCUGAUACCGCCCAAGAGUUCAUAUCGACGGCGGUGUUUGGCACCUCGAUGUCGGCUCAUCACAUCCUGGGGCUGAAGUAGGUCCCAAGGGUAUGGCUGUUCGCCAUUUAAAGUGGUACGCGAGCUGGGUUUAGAACGUCGUGAGACAGUUCGGUCCCUAUCUGCCGUGGGCGCUGGAGAACUGAGGGGGGCUGCUCCUAGUACGAGAGGACCGGAGUGGACGCAUCACUGGUGUUCGGGUUGUCAUGCCAAUGGCACUGCCCGGUAGCUAAAUGCGGAAGAGAUAAGUGCUGAAAGCAUCUAAGCACGAAACUUGCCCCGAGAUGAGUUCUCCCUGACUCCUUGAGAGUCCUGAAGGAACGUUGAAGACGACGACGUUGAUAGGCCGGGUGUGUAAGCGCAGCGAUGCGUUGAGCUAACCGGUACUAAUGAACCGUGAGGCUUAACC